rnacentral:rRNA from 1 species
UACGGAGGGUGCGAGCGUUGUCCGGAAUUAUUGGGCGUAAAGGGUGCGUAGGCGGCGCGGUAUGUCUCUUGUGAAAUCUCCAGGCUCAACUUGGAGUCUGCAAGGGAAACUGCCGUGCUUGAGUACUGGAGAGGUGAGUGGAAUUCCCGGUGUAGCGGUGAAAUGCGUAGAGAUGUGGAGGAAUACCGAUGGCGAAGGCAGCCCCCUGGGCCAAUACUGACGCUCAUGCACGAAAGCGUGGGGAGCAAACAGG